rnacentral:lncRNA from 1 species
UGACCUAUGCAGAUAGAUGAAUGAAAAGUUUGAAGUGCUUUGAGAUCUUUAUUGGGUGCACUCCAACAACCGACACUACGAAAGAGGAUCAAUCAUUCUUUUGCAUAAAAGAUACUAUCCGAAACCUCUUUUUUUAUCAACACAACACUAGCGAACAUAUUCCAAUUAGGAGAAAACCUUUAUAGAGUCUCAUCAAACAAUUCAUGUAUGGAGUUGCUAAGGAGAUCAACCCUAAGAAACGCACGUCUAUCUUUUCUUGCAAGGAGAUCAACCCUAGAAGCUUCUCUUUGUUCUUUCUGAUUGCGACUCUUGCAAGGAGAUGGGCAAUUACAUUGCUUCAUACUGGCCAGGCACGGCUUAGAAAUGCAUGUGAAAUCAUGUCAAACUGUGUCAAACUGAAGUGCACCUGAACCAUGUC